GAUGAACGCUGGCGGCGUGCCUAAUACAUGCAAGUCGAGCGAACGGACGAGAAGCUUGCUUCUCUGAUGUUAGCGGCGGACGGGUGAGUAACACGUGGAUAACCUACCUAUAAGACUGGGAUAACUUCGGGAAACCGUAGCUAAUACCGGAUAAUAUUUUGAACCGCAUGGUUCAAAAGUGAAAGACGGUCUUGCUGUCACUUAUAGAUGGAUCCGCGCUGCAUUAGCUAGUUGGUAAGGUAACGGCUUACCAAGGCAACGAUGCAUAGCCGACCUGAGAGGGUGAUCGGCCACACUGGAACUGAGACACGGUCCAGACUCCUACGGGAGGCAGCAGUAGGGAAUCUUCCGCAAUGGGCGAAAGCCUGACGGAGCAACGCCGCGUGAGUGAUGAAGGUCUUCGGAUCGUAAAACUCUGUUAUUAGGGAAGAACAUAUGUGUAAGUCACUGUGCACAUCUUGACGGUACCUAAUCAGAAAGCCACGGCUAACUACGUG
rnacentral:rRNA from 1 species